AUUCGGAUGACGAGUCCCAAAUAGGAUGGAACGCGUGUCCUAAAU
rfam:Schistosoma mansoni, Puerto Rico, WGS project CABG01000000 data, contig: 0208